CCCAACUUUCCAGAGUAUAAUAAUGAUGGCACAGGAACCCAAGCUGAGGUGCUAAGGAGAUGCAGGUCAAGUGCUGGCAAGGACCCAGGGUCAAAUAAAGCUUGUGGAGACCUCUGCCUCCAUGCUGUGCUCUCCUGCUGAGCCCCUGCUUCCAUGAUCCCUGCUGUGUGUAGCAGAUGGAAGAACAAUGGGUGGGAAAACCCUACAAACAGAGAGGAAUGACUGUGGACUGACUGCUAAGGGAAAUGGAAGAGAUCAUCAGGUCUUGCAAGCUGCCUCUUUUACUUUAAGGAGAUCUUUGGAUCAAAUAAAGACAGGACCUCCUAGGAUUCUGUUUCCAGGUGA